UCACAGGUUUGAAACCAGCAACUUAGUCCUAGAGAUACAGUUAAGUGGUGAAGUGCCCCUGGGUUUAAUCUCUGGUACCAAACAACAACAAUAAAAAAGGUACUGAGGAUAAGAUAUUUACCUACUAUCUUAGGGAUUUCCACUUCUAUUUAACUAACAAGACCUAUUUAUUAGGUCUCACUGUAUAAGCUAAUGGUUUCCAUAAUGUUUGCCUAUUGUCUAAAAUCGCUACAUAUUUGUUACCUUACAGAUUUCAAAUUCUGUUGGCAUGCUCUGGUUUUGAAAGCUCCUCGCUGGCACUCUGAUUGCUUUAUCCUAUUAUUCUGUUAUCUUUCUUCCAUAUAAUAGUCUUCAAAAAUCAGAUGAAGAAUUUAAGGAGUGAAGUCCUUCAGUUGGUGUAUCGGUGAAUUUAAAUUUGUUCCAUUUUCUUAAUCCUUUUUUUAGGACCCUUCUUUCAGUUCUCUAUAAUGCCACAGAGAGCUAGAAAUAAUCCACUUGGAAUUUCAAAUGAAAGUGAAAUAGAAAUGGAGAUAAGUCACAUGAGAGAAAAUUUUCCUGCAAGUGUAACAAAGUUAAUAGAAAGCAAAAGUUACAACAGCAAGGUAUUUUCCAAAGAAAAGUACUUUCAAACAAUAAAGGAAGUCAAAGAAGCUAAGGUAAAGGGGAAGAAGUCAUCACGUGUUUAUCGCCAUGCCACAAAAUAUGAUGGCAUCUCUGUACAGGGCACAGAGAAAUUGAUAGAGGCUACUCGUGGGGAGUGAGAUCGAAUAUGGUGUUAUGUACAUAAAGAAGAGUUGUUUGAUAUUCUUCAUUGUACACAUCUCAGUAUUGGGCAUGGUGGGCAGACACACAUGCUCAAGGAGCUACAAGGAAAAUAUGGGAAUGUCACCAAAGAAGUCAUUGUCUUAUAUCUGACUCUGUAAACAGUGCCAUCAGAAGAAUCCAGUGCCCAACAGAGGCCUUGCACCUAAGCCCAAGACUUUGAAAGACAUGGACUCCAGAUGUCAAGUUGAAAUUCUUGACAUGCAGUCAAAUGCUGUGGCAAGUUCAAGUUUAUUUUAUAUUACCAGGAUCACUUGACAAAGUUUCUUAUUUUACAGCCAUUAAAAGACAAAAAGACCCAUGAAGUUGUCAGUGUUUUGUUGGAUAUAUUCAUAAUUCUUGGUAUACUCAACAUGUUAGAAUCUGACAGUGACAUAGAGUUCACAAACCAAACUGUUAAUGAGCUCAAUGAGGUAUGGCCAGACUUUAAGAUUGUCUCUGGUGAGUACCUUGCUGGCCAAGGCCAGGGCUCCCUGGAAUAAACAAGGCAUGAUGUGAAGAACAUGGUAAAUUUCUGGAUGCAAAGUAACCACUCAUGUUACUGGGCAGAAGGCCUACGUUUCUUACAGAUGGUGAGGAAUCAGGCCUUUGACAUUUCC
rnacentral:lncRNA from 1 species